rnacentral:rRNA from 2 species
AUGGAGCACACCGCGUGAGUGAAGAAGGGUUUCGGCUCGUAAAGCUCUGUUGUUGAAGAAGAAUGUGCAAGAGAGUAACUGUUCUUGUAUUGACGGUAUUCAACCAGAAAGUCACGGCUAACUACGUGCCAGCAGCCGCGGUAAUACGUAGGUGGCAAGCGUUAUCCGGAUUUAUUGGGCGUAAAGCGAGCGCAGGCGGUUUUCUAAGUCUGAUGUGAAAGCCUUCGGCUUAACCGAAGAAGGGCAUCGGAAACUGGAUGACUUGAGUGCAGAAGAGGGCAGUGGAACUCCAUGUGUAGCGGUGGAAUGCGUAGAUAUAUGGAAGAACACCAGUGGCGAAGGCGGCUGCCUGGUCUGUAACUGACGCUGAGGCUCGAAAGCAUGGGUAGCGAACAGGAUUAGAUACCCUGGUAGUCCAUGCCGUAAACGAUGAGUGCUAGGUGUUGGAGGGUUUCCGCCCUUCAGUGCCGGAGCUAACGCAUUAAGCACUCCGCCUGGGGAGUACGACCGCAAGGUUGAAACUCAAAAAAAUUGACGGG